AUUGAACGCUGGCGGUAUGCUUUACACAUGCAAGUCGAACGGCAGCACGGGAGCAAUCCUGGUGGCGAGUGGCGAACGGGUGAGUAAUAUAUCGGAACGUGUCCAGUAGUGGGGGAUAGCCCGGCGAAAGCCGGAUUAAUACCGCAUACGACCUACGGGUGAAAGCGGGGGAUCGCAAGACCUCGCGCUAUUGGAGCGGCCGAUAUUAGAUUAGGUAGUUGGUGGGGUAAAAGCCUACCAAGCCUGCGAUCUGUAGCUGGUCUGAGAGGACGACCAGCCACACUGGGACUGAGACACGGCCCAGACUCCUACGGGAGGCAGCAGUGGGGAAUUUUGGACAAUGGGGGCAACCCUGAUCCAGCCAUACCGCGUGCAGGAAGAAGGCCUUCGGGUUGUAAACUGCUUUUGUCAGAGAAGAAAUCUUUUGGGCUAAUACCUCGGAAGGAUGACGGUAUCUGAAGAAUAAGCACCGGCUAACUACGUGCCAGCCGCCGCCGUAAUAC
rnacentral:rRNA from 1 species